AUUCCCCUAGUAACUGCGAGUGAAGCGGGAAAAGCUCAAAUUUAAAAUCUGGUGGUCUUUGGCCAUCCGAGUUGUAAUUUAGAGAAGCGUCUUCCGCGCUGGACCGUGCACAAGUCUCCUGGAAUGGAGCGUCAUAGAGGGUGAGAAUCCCGUCUUUGGCACGGACACACCAGGGCUUUUGUGAUGCGCUCUCAAAGAGUCGAGUUGUUUGGGAAUGCAGCUCAAAAUGGGUGGUGAACUCCAUCUAAAGCUAAAUAUUGGCGAGAGACCGAUAGCGAACAAGUACCGUGAGGGAAAGAUGAAAAGCACUUUGGAAAGAGAGUGAAACAGUACGUGAAAUUGUUGAAAGGGAAACGCUUGAAGUCAGUCGCGUCGACCGAGACUCAGCCUUGCCUCGGCUUGGUGUACUUCUCGGCCUGACGGGUCAGCAUCAAUUUUGCCCCUUGGAUAAUGGCGAGGGAAAUGUGACACCUUUACGGUGUGUUAUAGUCCCUUGUCGCAUGCAAGGGUUGGGAUUGAGGAACUCAGCACGCGCCUUUGGGUGUCGGGGCUUUGCCCACGAUACGUGCUUAGGAUGUUGGCGUAAUGGCUUUAAACGACCCGUCUUGAAACACGGACCAAGGAGUCUAACAUGCCUGCGAGUGUUCGGGUGGAAAACCCGUGCGCGCAAUGAAAGUGAAAGUUGGGACCUCUGUCGUGGAGGGCACCGACGCCCGGACCAGACCUUCUGUGACGGCUCUGCGGUGAAGCAUGUAUGUUAGGACCCGAAAGAUGGUGAACUAUGCCUGAAUAGGGUGAAGCCAGAGGAAACUCUGGUGGAGGCUCGUAGCGAUUCUGACGUGCAAAUCGAUCGUCAAAUUUGGGUAUAGGGGCGAAAGAC
rnacentral:rRNA from 1 species